UACAGCCAGAGAGAGAGAGAGAGAGAGAGAGAGACAGAGAGAGAGACUGAUGACUGUUGUUGAGCGAGAACUCAUCAAGAUUCAGAAAAGUUGGGUGUUGUUGAGUGUUUCAGUGGGUGAGUGCGUAAUGCGCACUCUCUCUCUCUCUCUCUCUCUGUCUCUCUCCUGUACAUUGUAAUU
rnacentral:miRNA from 1 species